CUGCCUCUCUCUCUCUGUGUGACUAUCAUAAAUAAAUAAAAAUUAAAAAAAAAAGAAGUCAUCAUUAUAAAAAAAAAAAAAAGAAUCAGAUGCUUAACCAGCUGAGCGACCCAGGCGCCCCUGUAUUUCCAGGUUUAAGUUGCAAAGCCUACAAGUCAGACUGUCCAUUCACAUCAGUCCUACUUUCAAGACAUAUCCACCCAGAAGAGGAUCUAGGGGGUGGGGAGUGGUGUCACAAUCACAGGGCUGGUCAGCACCGGGCUACUGCUGCCCACCACCCAUGAGGUGGUGCUCUUGCACAAUGCCCUGCGCCCCUGCGCCCUUCCCUGAGUCCCUGUUCAGUCAACUUUCCUGCAGAAAUGGAAUUGAUCACCCCUUUCUUCUGUGGCAAAGGAGUCUUCGGGCAUGGAACUAAUCCCUAGGUAUUCACUGGCACUUUGGAUGUGUUCAUAGUGGUGCUGGGCACUCUGAGGAAGCCAGGAGCAGAUUUCAUAAGCCAACAAGUAUGCAUAAAGCACUCGCUCCAGGCCAGAACUUCAUGACAGCCCAAGUAUGGCAAUGUGAAUAAAGCAGGGGCUUCAGCUCUCAGGGAGCUGGCAGUCAAAUGGAGAAGAUCACCAGCUCUGGCAACGUGCACAGGUUCUCAGGCCACAAAGUCACAAGGAAGACCCAGGUCUCUCUUCUCAUCUGUUCCCAAGACAGCCCCAAGUGUGCAGUCUGUGAAAGACAAAUGGAAGGAAAGAAGAGCAAAUGGGGAAUCGGAUGCCACCAGCCCAGAACAGAGGAUCUUCCUGGUGACUAGACAUCCUUCCUCAGGUGACACUUACCUGCAUUACUGUAAGGGACACACAUUUAUAUCCGAAAGAGGCAACAUAUCCAUGCUGUCAUGACUCCACACCUUAGCUCACUGGAGCACAUUUGCUUGUAUCUGCUUUCCUCUCUCGAACAUGAGCCCCAUGAAGAUGUGAUCCAGAUUUGUGUUAUCUUGCCAGUCAUUGAAGAAAAAUUAGAAAAUUCAGGUGGGACCUCAUCAGUCACCAAGAGGUCCCAGAGAGAUAACUCUGACUCCCAAAGAUCUGUCAUCAUUCUCUGGCCAACCCAUUGGAGGAAUGCAUGUGUUCAUGGGCAGGAAGUUCUAACCAAAGUCAAUGCAUUCCAGAAAGUUUGAAAUUCAUUGUAUCCACUUGAAUCCACUUGAUUCCCAUAAAGAACAAGAAUUUCUGCAUGCACCCUGGCAACCGGAGGUAGAAGGAGGCAGAAGUCAUGCACUGGCUCUGAAAAUUGGCAAAAAGUGACCAGAAGCCAACUCUCUGUGAUUUUUUUUUUAACAUUUUAAUUAUUUUUUUAGAGGUGGAAGAGGGGCAGAAGGAGAGGGAGAGAGAGACUCUUAAACAGGUUCCACACCCAGCUCAGAGCUGCUGACAUGGGGUUCAGCCUCACAACCCUAAGAUCUUGACCUGAACAGAAAUCAAGAGUUAGACACUGCACCGACUGAGCCACAAAGGUGCUCCACUCUCCUGCUGAUUUUUAACGCCAGGGAAAGGAGGAGUGAAGACCACCAACACUGACCUCACAUAGAUGCUUGGUAGAUGUUUAUUGAAUAAAUGAGUAAAAGACAAUCA
ensembl:lncRNA